AUACGGAGGGUGCAAGCGUUACUCGGAAUCACUGGGCGUAAAGCGCGCGCAGGCGGCUAUUUAAGAUGGAUGUGAAAGCCUACAGCUCAACCGUAGAACUGCAUCCAAAACUAUUUAGCUAGAGUGUGGGAGAGGAAGAUGGAAUUAGUUGUGUAGGGGUAAAAUCCGUAGAGAUAACUAGGAAUACCAAAAGCGAAGGCAAUCUUCUGGAACACUUCUGACGCUGAGGCGCGAAAGCGUGGGGAGCAAACAGAAUUAGAAACCCCUGUAGUCC
rnacentral:rRNA from 1 species